rnacentral:tRNA from 1 species
GCGGGGGUUCCCGAGUCUGGUCAAAGGGGGCGGACUUAAGAUCCCCUUAUAAGAGAUCCGCUGGCGAAGGCCUGCGUGGGUCCAAAUCCCACCCCCCGCA